AGAGCCGCGCACCAAGCCGAUGGCGGUGGACGCAGCAGGGCCCCGCGGUCUGAGUGCGGGCAGGCGCGCGUGGGCGUGUCUCCCUGGCCCACGCGUGUCCCCGGCAUCAGUGUCUCGGCUCUGGUCCAGGACGAAGACUUCUGAAAGCGAGCCAAGGAGAAUCACAGUUCUUAACGGAGCCCCUGACUGCCCGGUGGAAGGAGGUGAUUUAGAAGACAGUGAGAUUCCUGAAAAACAACAUUGGGCUCCAACUGCAUCUUCAAGAGAGGCCCUGUCUUCUGGCUCUGUGUUACCGUGUUGACCAAGAAGUUGAUCUGGGGCAAAGUGAAGCAUCAGUAGCGCCUUCCAUCCCUUCACCUCACCUGGAUCUCUUCACUUCACUCCACGUCUGUCGUCUCCCAUGCAUGAAGCAACAUGGCCAAGUGAAGCUGCAACCAGUAAAGUGUAAGGUAUCAAGUAGUGACAAUGAUGGUGUCAAAUAAUUGCUAUUUUUAGACUCAGCUACUGUUCCCAUCGAGAUGCAAAGGACACAGAGCUCACGGGUGCUCCAGCAAUGCUGGUGUCAUGUUUGGAGGUAGCUGUCUAUGGACUACAGUAUUCUCCCAGUGCUAGUCUGCAGUCACUGCAAAGCCUCCCAAUAGAACAUUUCUUCCUGAGCCAACCUAUCAGUGCAGCUCUGGAAGCAAAUGACCUCUCCUGGCAGAGCCUUCACUGUGUGGGGAACAUCAGAUUUGUGUAAAGAAGAUCACCUGUCUCUUCUCAGGUGUGCACUGUAGAGAAGCUGCUGCGAAGGCCACAGGUCACUCAGGAAAAUUUGGGGCAGUUUUCUAGGUUCAAGGGAGACUGGACAUCAAAGCUGCACUGGGACAUAUGGACGCCUUGAUCCACUUUGGCCAUUCCACCUCAGCUCAGAAUUACUCACUGGUGUCAGCACAGGAUGUUUCUUGGCUUCAAACCAUUUGGAUAAGUGAUGGCAGCAAGCUUCGCCACUGUAAAGUCACCUCUUUGUAAGAAGACAGGAGCUCUUUGUAAAGAAUAUGAGACCUGAGGCUGGGGGAUGGCUGAGAAGGGAAAAGCACCUCUGCACAAGCGUGAGAAAAGGAGUUUGUUCUUCCACAUCCAUGUAGAAAUCUUGAUGCCGUGCCGUGAACCCCAGCUCUCCUACGGGAAGAUGGGAGGCGUAGACAGGAGUUCAUCUGGAAGCUUGAGGCCAGCCACCCAGAUCCUCAGAGCUGCAGACAAAAGAGAGGCCCUGCAGCAAAAGAGUGGAAGGUGAGAACCAACUCCGGAAAGUUGCCCUCUGACCUUUACAAGUGUAUACAUCCACACACAUACAAUAAAAUCAAUUGCUCAAUCAC
rnacentral:lncRNA from 1 species